rnacentral:tRNA from 1 species
GGCGAUUUAGCGAAGUGGUUAACGCGCCAGAUUAAGGAUCUUGCGCUUAUCGCAAAGAUUCUCUGGUCCUCCGGGGCGUGGGUUCGAGUCCCACAGUCGUCA